rnacentral:rRNA from 1 species
GAACUGAAGAGUUUGAUCAUGGCUCAGAUUGAACGCUGGCGGCAGGCCUAACACAUGCAAGUCGAGCGGUAACAGGGGUAGCUUGCUACCCGCUGACGAGCGGCGGACGGGUGAGUAACGCGUGAGAAUCUGCCCAUCAGUGGGGGAUAACCCGGGGAAACUCGGGCUAAUACCGCAUACGUCCUACGGGACAAAGCAGGGGACCUUUUGGCCUUGCGCUGAUGGAUGAGCUCGCGUCGGAUUAGCUUGUUGGUGAGGUAAAGGCUCACCAAGGCGACGAUCCGUAGCUGGUCUGAGAGGAUGAUCAGCCACACCGGGACUGAGACACGGCCCGGACUCCUACGGGAGGCAGCAGUGGGGAAUCUUGGACAAUGGGGGCAACCCUGAUCCAGCCAUGCCGCGUGUGUGAAGAAGGCCUUCGGGUUGUAAAGCACUUUCAGUAGGGAGGAAGGCUU